rnacentral:lncRNA from 1 species
CUUGGCUGGGCUACGAGAGGGCCUGCCUGCCUGGCUGCUUUACCAGAGCUGCCAGGGACACAGAGGAUGAUGGCUUCCUGUUCUCCUCAACAGAUACUGUAUGUGGAUCCCGCAGGAGAAAAAGAGAGGAAGAGAGAACCUGCUUAGAAUUUCACCUCCGGAUUCGGAAUGUUUCGGAAUGUUUCGGAAUCGCCUCUACUGUGGAAUAUCUACAGAGCUACCUGACAAGCUGCUGUGAGCAUGAUGGAGGGAGGAGGCAGAGGAAGGAGGAGGGAGGAGGAAGAAGGAGGAGGAGGAGGGAGGAGGUGGUAGGCCAGUGUAUUCCUCUCUCUGGCUCAUUAGGGAGCAGGUGAGAAACAGGGAGGAGGCGGUAGGCCAGUGUAUUCCUCUCUCUGCUCAUUAGGGAGCAGGUGAGAAACAGGGAGGAGGCGGUAGGCCAGUGUAUUCCUCUCUCUGCUCAUUAGGGAGCAGGUGAGAAACAGGGAGGAGGCGGUAGGCCAGUGUAUUCCUCUCUCUGCUCAUUAGGGAGCAGGUGAGAAACAGGGAGGAGGCGGUAGGCCAGUGUAUUCCUCUCUCUGCUCAUUAGGGAGCAGGUGAGAAACAUUAACAGCAGCAGCUGCACUGCUCUGCACAUGUGGUAGAGGGCUUGAGCUAGCCCACCCCACUGUCUGUCUGUCCACCAGUGGAAACUCACUCCUCUCUGGGGAAUGCCUAGUGUACACCAGUUACCAGGAGUACAUUUAGUAAAGGCUUCUUGGACACACAUUAAGCCCAGUCCUGUACUAAAUAGCUCUUUAAAUGGAGAUUCUCUAUUAAAUAUGUUUUUUACUUCUGGAUUAGGCUUAAUCUGUGUCUGGAAAACUGUCCCAUUGAGUAACUAAGAGUUACACUUCAGACAAUCCCAGUAUCUCUGUCUCAGACUGGUUAGAGGUGAAUGAAUCUGUGAUUAUGUGUUUAUCUUUAAUUCUUUCAACAACAAAAAAAGAAAGAAAGAAAGUUCCACACUCUGCUCCCAACAAUUUAACGAGUAAACAUAACCAACGUUGCAGCACGCAGUUACAACAUUAAUGCUUCCACCAGGUUGCUUUUCACUAUGUUUUAAUCCUAACCAUUUUUCUGUGUUUACUGAGGUGUUGUUGAAGCUGUCCUCCUGACUUGGCUGACUGGGACCAUGGUACUGGAGGACCAGAGUAGACUGACGGGUCUAUCACUGUCCUUUGGGGUGAGGUAGUAG